rnacentral:rRNA from 1 species
UACGGAGGGUGCAAGCGUUAUCCGGAUUCACUGGGUUUAAAGGGUGCGUAGGUGGGUUGGUAAGUCAGUGGUGAAAUCUCCAGGCUUAACUUGGAAACUGCCAUUGAUACUAUCAAUCUUGAAUACCGUGGAGGUCAGCGGAAUAUGUCAUGUAGCGGUGAAAUGCUUAGAUAUGACAUAGAACACCGAUAGCGAAGGCAGCUUGCUACACGAGUAUUGACACUGAGGCACGAAAGCGUGGGGAUCAAACAGG